GGGGAGUACGGUCGCAAGACCGAAACUCAAAGGAAUUGACGGGGGCCUGCACAAGCGGUGGAGCAUGUGGUUUAAUUUGAUACAACGUGCAAAACCUUACCAGCCCUUGACAUAUGAACAACAAAACCUGUCCUUAACAGGAUGGUACUGACUUUCAUACAGGUGCUGCAUGGCUGUCGACAGCUCGUGUCAUGAGAUGUUUGGUCAAGUCCUAUAACGAGCGGAACCCUCGUUUUGUGUUGCUGAGACAUGCGCCUAAGGAGAAAUUGCCACCGAGUGACGUGCCAGCGCUACUACUUGAUUGAGUGCCAGCACGUAGCUGUGCUUUCAGCAAGAAUUUCACCAUUGGGAGCCGGUGCCUUCCGAAGCACUUUCACGUGUGAAACAAAGUCGUCUUGCCCAAGACCCACGGAGACCUACCUAUAGUGACGUCAAAGUACCAGUGAGCAUGGAGGUUCGGUUGAAAUUGGUUACGACGACGUCGACUUGGCGACAUAGGAAGACUCGUCAUGAAGGCCAGAAAAUGGUGUGGAACGUAGUGGUAAUACUACGCACCCCGCUCCGAAUCAAAGAAAAAAGUGCGUGCCGCACUCACGAGGGACUGCCAGUGAGAUACUGGAGGAAGGUGGGGAUGACGUCAAGUCCGCAUGGCCCUUAUGGGCUGGGCCACACACGUGCUACAAUGGCAAUGAUAAUCGGAAGCAAGGCUGUAAGGCGGAGCGAAUCCAGAAAGAUUGCCUCAGUUUGGAUUGUUCUCUGCAACUCGGGAACAUGAAGUUGAAAUUGCUAGUAAUCGCGGAUCAGCAUGCCGUGGUGAAUAUGUACCCGGGCCCUACACACACCGCCCGUCACACCCUGGGAAUUGGUUUCGCCCGAAGCAUCGGACCAAUGAGCACCCAUGACUUCUGUGUACCACUAGUGCCACAAAGGCCUUUGAUGGUCUUAUUGGCGCAUACCACGGUGGGGUCUUCGACUGGGGUGAAGUCGUAACAAGGUAGCCGUAGGGGAACCUGUGGCUG
rnacentral:rRNA from 1 species